CUUGGAGUAGAGAAUAUUCUUUGAGCCAAGAGUAAAGAGGGCUUGACCUUUACUUUGGGGAAAAAAAUGUGCUCCCAAUUACCGAAAUUAUGUUUGCAGAGGAGAAAUACUGAGAACAAAUCACAUGGUUGGAUGGAUGCUGUCCUGAGGGUGAAUAGCUCUCAGAUGGCAGCUGCAUCAGGACAGCAGAGAGCAACAGUCGCUGUGGGCUGCUUUUCCAUCUGUUGGCUCAUAGAAAUAAGAACAGAGGACAGAGCAUUGCAAAGACCGAUUUAAGCCUACGUGGAAAAUCCAUAACAUAACCCAAACCCGAUAUUUGCACAGUGUAUGGAUAAACUCAUUGCUUGCUAAGGACUGACCCUGACCAGCUUAGCAAGGUAAGAUGGCUUUGAAAUAUUAAUGCAAAUCCCAGGUGAUCAGCGAGGUCCUGAAGAUCGGAGUCCAGAGCAGACCACAAGGCAAGAGUGGAACACUUGCUGGGCUGGUACUGGGAUGCAAAGGACAGCUUCAUCUCUUUGUAGAGAGGAG